UGGGGAAUAUUGGACAAUGGGCGCAAGCCUGAUCCAGCCAUGCCGCGUGAGUGAUGAAGGCCUUAGGGUUGUAAAGCUCUUUCGCCGGUGAAGAUAAUGACGGUAACCGGAGAAGAAGCCCCGGCUAACUUCGUGCCAGCAGCCGCGGUAAUACGAAGGGGGCUAGCGUUGCUCGGAAUCACUGGGCGUAAAGCGCACGUAGGCGGAUCGUUAAGUCAGGGGUGAAAUCCUGGAGCUCAACUCCAGAACUGCCCUUGAUACUGGCGAUCUCGAGUUCGAGAGAGGUUGGUGGAACUCCGAGUGUAGAGGUGAAAUUCGUAGAUAUUCGGAAGAACACCAGUGGCGAAGGCGGCCAACUGGCUCGAUACUGACGCUGAGGCGCGAAAGCGUGGGGAGCAAACAGGAUUAGAUACCCUGGUAGUCCACGCCGUAAACGAUGGAUGCUAGCCGUUGGGGGGUUUACCUCUCAGUGGCGCAGCUAACGCCUUAAGCAUCCCGCCUGGGGAGUACGGUCGCAAGAUUAAAACUCAAAUGAAUUGACGGGGUCAUAGCUGUUUCCU
rnacentral:rRNA from 1 species